UACGUAGGGUGCGAGCGUUGUCCGGAAUUAUUGGGCGUAAAGAGCUCGUUAGGCGGUGUGUCACGUCGGCCGUGAAAACCUGCAGCUUAACUGUGGGCGUGCGGUCAUACGGGCAUCACUGGAGUUCGGCAGGGGAGACUGGAAUUCCUGGUGUAGCGGUGAAAUGCGCAGAUAUUAGAGGACGAACGCCGGAGGCGGAGCGGGGCUCU
rnacentral:rRNA from 1 species